UUAUGUCAUUUUCUAUUUUUCUAUCUUCCAAAAUAAACAUAAGGGUUCUCUGAUAUUGUUUUCAUCGAUCAAGGGUUUUCACUUAACGAGUGCGUAGUUCUUCCUAAUAAAAACGGCGAAGCAAUAGGACCAGAGACAAGUGAAUAGAUUUUCAAACACUAGAAGCCGAGAAGAGGUGGAAGACGGAGAUGGUCUUGACUUAAUUUCUCUUCCUAGUCAUUUACCCCUCAAGUUUCAAUCUUUGGAAUCUGGUGAUGGAGAUGGCCUUGAUUUUGUCUAAAUUCAAUUAGCUCGUCAAGAUCCUGAACUGAAUGUCAUGUCUCAGCUAAUUACAUUAUUUGGGAAGCUGGGGAACCAAAACAUUUUGAGUGGAAAUAAGGCUAAGGCCUAAGAACUAGAAGUCUAGUAUGGAGCCUUUUGAAAGCGAAAAAUAAAAAUGUUCUUUGUAAUUAUAGCCUAGUUUGUAAGUGUAAUGGGCAUUAGAAUAGGUUAGACUACACAUUUGUUCGUUUCUUUUAAGCUGUACAUUUCAUGGUAUCAUGUUCAUUUAAAAAUAUUGAUAUGCUAAGAGAUACAUUACUGGCUUUUUCAUUUUA